rnacentral:pre_miRNA from 8 species
UGUAAACAUCCCCGACUGGAAGCUGUGCUACGCGGAAAACGAGCUUUCAGUUGGAUGUUUGCU